ACCAAUAGUAGUUGUUAAGGCUGAGGUGUGCACUGAUACAAGGAUGUAAUCUUGGCAUGGCAGACCCUCUUCCCAUGACUCCAGCCUAGGAGAUGGUGGCAGUGCUUCUUAUAAGCUUUUGUUCUGGAAACUACUCCAUGUAGACGACAGAAGGUCCCCACUGCAGAGGAUUAGAGUGGAUUUUGUCAAUCUUGGGAACACUGCCAUAGCUGCCCAAACUACAGACCCCUCUUUGCCUAGAUUUGCCUCAUCACAGAAUUGAGUGAAGGCUACGUGGAAAAGGUAAGGAGGGGUCAUUCCUGGUGUGACUCCUAACUUGUAGCAGGCAUUGUUUUAGAGAGAGCUGCCUUUCUUAACAUGAUUGAGAAAACACUUACACUUACAAUAAAGUCAGAGCAACUGCAGGUAGGAGAUAAUGGCUUCAGUAAACCACAUGCCUUUUGACAUAGGACACUCUAUUGACCUACCUAGGGACUCUUGUGGGAUACACAGAAGGGAGCCAUAGAGAAAAUGGGGAAGAAAGCAAACCAGAAGAAGGAGGUAAAGAGGUAUUUUCCUUCAGUCCAUUGCUGGAGGAUUGGCACAAAGUCAUGAACAACAUGUCUCCAAACACCCACCAGGGCCUCUACAGCAGACAUAUUUCUUACCGACUCUAAACUUUUCAUUUCUGUUCAGAACUCCUUAGGAUGUAGUAAUGAAACAUAAUUUCAUAAACAACUUAUGCUCAGUAUUUGUGGAGGGGAUUAAAUUAUGAAUAUUGAAUGGGUAUCAUUGAAACUAUAAAAUCAGUAGUGUAAUGCAUACGUUUGAUCCAGAUCUUAUUCCAUUAACUCUAAUGCAUGGAAAAUAAUCUUGCUUUCCUUAUGUUUGAGUAUGUGCCUUUUCAUAUGUGUGUAUUUGUCUAUUUAGGUCUGCGUGUGAGGCGGGGUGCAACAUCGGAUGACAUUUUCUAGGAGCCAUCUACCUUGUUUAACAACAAAAGUGUUCUCCAAGCUUCCUUAAUUGCUCUAGAAUUGAUGUAAUGUUAAUUGUGGAUUUGUCAUAGGAAAAUACAUGUGUAUGUAGAGAGAAUAUCAGAAGUAUGUCCCAGAAUUAACAAGAAAGAGACAAAGGCCCUAGUGUUUCCAUAGUAACAGCAUGGCUAGCCAAUUGUUGUGACACCAUGGUUAUGGAAAAAGACUAUGGCAUGUACUGAAAGCAUAAAAUCACAAAAUCAAAAGAUUCAUAUUCUGACUGCUGGCAUCUGACUAAUACCCACGCAUGCCUAUUUCUGCUUGGCCUAGGGACCAUCCUUGUGCUUACAGAGCGAAGUUAAUGAAGAAUUAGAGACCUCUACGGUUUUGAUUUUAAAGACAACUGUUGUUGCUGCAUUCUCUACUCCUAAGGCUCAGGAUGAUGGAUCUUUAGGGAUUCCUAUCAGUUCUUCAGUCAAUGGUGAUUUCCAAUAUAAGUGAAAACAUAAAAAGGACGUCUUUGAGUAUCACCAGACUCCAGUUAGCUGCAUAUCAAGUCACUUGCACCUUUUGGCAGCUCUCUGCAGUACAGCAACGUUGUUCUCUGCCAUUAACAGAUGGAGUCUCGACGUGAGAACUGCUACUGUAAAACCUACAAUAUGUUAGGUUAAAGAUUAAGUGAAAUCAGUGUUGAGGGUGCCGGAUGACACAUCAUAUAUUCCAACGGGUUUCUAAUGCUGUGAAGAGACACCAGGACCAAGGCAACUCUUAUAAAGGACAGCAUUUAGUUGGGGCUGACUUACAGUUCAUUGUCAUCAAGGGAGGGGCAUGACAGCCUCCAGGAAGACAUAGUGCUGUUUUGACGGAGCUGAGAGUUCUACAUCUUCAUCUGAAGGCCACUGAAGAAAAAUCUGACUUUCUCAGGCAGGUGCAAGGAGGGUCUGAAAGCACACCCCCACAAAGGCACACUUCUCGCAUCCAGGCCACACCUACUAUUAUUGGUACUCCCUGGGCUGAGCUUUUCAAACCACCACACCAUUCAUACUUUCAGAGUUCAUUUUACAAAAGCAAUGCUGAGCUAAGCACAUCAUGCCCAAUGGGAUUCAUAAUAAAAUUUUCUUAUCAGAAAAUACUUUUGCUUAUUUCCAGGAGAUUGACCAUUAGACAUUGUAUAAAUAAAUUAGGUGGACACAUUGGUCUUCAUGCCUUCCAGGUAUACCCUAUAUUAGAAAAUUUAAUAGCAGCCAUAUCUACCACACUUUCUCCUCAAGGUAAGAGAAGGAUAGUAAUAAAUUGUUAAGAAAUUGUGUGAUUGGGGUUGGGGAUUUAGCUCAGUGGUAGAGCGCUUGCAUAUCAAGUGCAAGUCCUUGGGUUCAGUCCUCAGCUCUGAAAAAAAAUGUAUGAUUGUGGAAAAAGGAAUGUCUCUUUCUUUGAUGGGUGAAGGAAUUGUAUAUAUCCAGCAAAGAAAACAAAUAAGCAUAAUCAAAUUAAAGUCCUGUUUACUUAAAAUUGAAGAAAUAAAGAACUUUUAGAAAUAUGUUUAUUUAUCACAUAUAAAAUGUAAAAAACUAUGUGAAUUUACAUUUUAUAAAUUAUAAUGUUAAGAACAUGACAAGUGAUGUAGGAAUUCUGUAUUUGAGUCACGUCAAUGAGAUUAUUUCUUCUGUUUUAUUACGAAGUAAAGAAAUAGAAUAAAAUUUCAGAAGUACCAGACAUCAUGCACUUUAUUUGUAGAAGAAAAUUCAUCAGCAAUCCCCUCUGUUAUAUCCCAUGGAUGUUGAAAAUGUGUGUUUUGUAUUUGUUUUUAAAUAUAAUGUUUUAAAGUUUCAUAAAA